rnacentral:tRNA from 1 species
UGGUUCAGUGGUAGAAUCUUUGUCUAGUAUGCAGGAGACCUGGGUUUGAUUCCCAG